UUCCUCGCCCAUUGCCCUGCAGUCAUCAGAAGUGUCCACUUAAUUUGAGGGCAUAUGGUGUGUCUUUUAAGUGUUUGGACUGCACCCAUGAACAUAAGCACAGGAACCAGUUUGGCCUGAGGAAAAGCGAAAGUAAAAGUGUUUCGGUCAGACUUCUUGUCCUCGGAUGAUGYUGGUUUAGAUAUUGUUUAAUGAAGGGAUAGUUGUUUUUUAUGACUGUCAUACAUUGAUGCAGAUAUAAAUCAGCUAUUUUGAUCAGCUACUGACUUUCCUGGGUAAAUAUAAAUACAAAUCUGAAGUGGAAGACCAUUAAAGGCAAAAUGGCAGAGUCCAGUGUUCAUAGUAAUCCAAGGAUAAGAAAAUUCUUCACUGUUGUCAGUGGCAAUACCUUGGAUUCUCAUAAGGACUUUUUGGAACAACUCACCAAGCAACAAGACUUUACUCAAG